AGAGUUUGAUCCUGGCUCAGAAUGAACGUUGGCGGCGUGGAUUAGGCAUGCAAGUCGAGCGAGAAUCCGCAAGGGGGACAGCGGCAAACGGGGUAGUAACGGGUAGGUGACGUACCCUCGGGUCGAGGAUAGCCACGGGAAACUGUGGGUAAUACUCGAUAAUCUCCUGGAGCGUGAUAGCUUCGGGAGCAAAGGUGUGAUUCCACCUGGGGAGCGGCCUGCUUCGUAUUAGCUAGUUGGUGAGGUAACGGCUCACCAAGGCGACGAUGCGUAGGGGGUGUGAGAGCAUGACCCCCACCACUGGGACUGAGAUACUGCCCAGACACCUACGGGUGGCUGCAGUCGAGAAUCUUCGGCAAUGGGCGCAAGCCUGACCGAGCGACGCCGCGUGUGGGAUGAAGGCCCUUGGGUUGUAAACCACUGUCAGAGGGGAUGAAGUUCAUGAGGGCAAUCUCUCAUGAUUGACAUAGCCUCAGAGGAAGCACGGGCUAAGUUCGUGCCAGCAGCCGCGGUAAUACGAACUGUGCAAACGUUAUUCGGAAUCACUGGGCUUACAGGGUGCGUAGGCGGCUUGUUAAGUAGGGUGUGAAAGCCCCCGGCUCAACCGGGGAAUGGCGCCCUAAACUGGCGAGCUAGAGUGAGAUAGGGGUGUGUGGAACUUCCGGUGGAGCGGUGAAAUGUGUUGAUAUCGGAAGGAACGCCGGUGGCGAAAGCGACACACUGGAUCUUGUCUGACGCUGAGGCACGAAAGCCAGGGGAGCGAACGGGAUUAGAUACCCCGGUAGUCCUGGCUGUAAACG
rnacentral:rRNA from 1 species